UUUUAAGAGACAGCAGCCGCCGCGGUAAGACAGAGGAUGCAAGCGUUAUCCGGAAUGAUUGGGCGUAAAGCGUCUGUAGGUGGCUUUUCAAGUCCGCCAUCAAAUCCCAAGGCUCAACCCUGGACAGGCGGUGGAAAAUACCAAGCUGGAGUACGGUAGGGGCAGAGGGAAUUUCCGGUGGAGCGGUGAAAUGCGUUGAGAUUGGAAAGAACACCAACGGUGAAAGCACUCUGCUGGGCCGACACUGACACUGAGAGACGAAAGCUAGGGGAGCAAAUGGGAUUAGAUACCCGCGUAGUCCCUGUCUCUUAUAC
rnacentral:rRNA from 1 species